rnacentral:rRNA from 1 species
CAAUUAAACUACCAAUUGUUCGCCAAACAACUACGAGUAAUACUUAAAACUUAAAAGACUUGACGGUACUUCACCCCGACCUAGAGGAGCCUGUCUAAUAACCGAUAACCCACGAUUAACCCAACCACUUCUUGCCCUACAGUCUAUAUACCGCCGUCGCCAGCUUACCUUGUAAAAGAAAUAAAGUGAGCCAAAUAGUAACACACUAAAACGACAGGUCGAGGUGUAACCUAUGAAGAGGCUAAGAUGGGCUACAUUCUCUAACAGAGAUACGAACAACACUAUGAAAUUAGUGUUCGAAGACGGAUUUAGCAGUAAGAUAAGAAUAGAACACCUAACUGAAAAUAACGCAAUGAAGUGCGCACACACCGCCCGUCACCCCUGCCACCACG